rnacentral:lncRNA from 1 species
CCCGGAUCAUUGGUGUGGACAUCAAUAAAGAUAAAUUUGCAAGGGCCAAAGAGUUUGGAGCCACUGAAUGUAUUAACCCUCAGGGUUUUAGUAAACCCAUCCAGGAAGGGCUCAUUGAGACGACUGAUGGAGGAGUGGACUAUUCCUUUGAAUGUAUUGGUAAUGUGAAGAAAUUGCCACUCGUCCAUUCCAGCUGGUAACAGGUCGCACAUGGAAAGGAACUGCCUUUGGAGGAUGGAAGAGUGUAGAAAGUGUCCCAAAGUUGGUGUCUGAAUAUAUGUCCAAAAAAAUAAAAGUUGAUGAAUUUGUGACUCACAAUCUGUCUUUUGGUGAAAUUAACAAAGCCUUUCAACUGAUGCAUUCUGGAAAGAGCAUUCGAACUGUUGUAAAGAUUUAAUUCAAAAGAGAAAAAUAAUGUCCAACCUGUCGUGAUGUGAUGGGAG